UGAGAGAUGGAGUGACACAGUAGGAUAAGCUAACCGUACUGUUGGUUAUGUACGGCUAAGCAUUGAGGCAGUCUAAAUAGGCAAAUCCGUUUAGACAAUGCUAGGAUGUGAUGGGGAAGCCCUUCGGGGCGAAGUAGCUGAUUUCACACUGUCAAGAAAAGCUUCUAUCGAGUUUAAAGGCGCCCGUACCGUAAACCGACACAGGUGGGUGAGGAGAGUAUCCUAAGGCCAGCGAGAGAACUAUUGUUAAGGAACUCGGCAAAAUGACCCCGUAACUUAGGGAGAAGGGGUGCCUGUCUAUGACAGGCCGCAGAGAAUAGGCCCAAGCGACUGUUUACCAAAAACACAGGUUUCUGCUAAGUCGCAAGACGAUGUAUAGGAGCUGACGCCUGCCCGGUGCUGGAAGGUUAAGGGGAUCUGUUAGAGCAAUCGAAGCAGUGAACUUAAGCCCCAGUAAACGGCGGCCGUAACGAUAACGGUCCUAAGGUAGCGAAAUUCCUUGUCGGGUAAGUUCCGACCCGCACGAAAGGCGUAACGAUUUGGGCACUGUCUCAACAAUAGACUCGGUGAAAUUGUAAUCCCGGUGAAGAUGCCGGGUACCUGCGACAGGACGGAAAGACCCCAUGGAGCUUUACUGUAGCUUGACGUUGGGUCUUGGUACUACAUGUACAGGAUAGGUGGGAGACUAUGAAGCAUGGACGCCAGUCUGUGUGGAGUCAUCCUUGGGAUACCACCCUUGUAGUACUGGGAUCCUAACCAUAGGCCUUGAAUCAGGUCUUGGAACACCGUCAGGUGGGCAGUUUGACUGGGGCGGUCGCCUCCUAAAAAGUAACGGAGGCGCUCAAAGGUUUCCUCAGCACGGUCGGAAAUCGUGCGAAGAGUGUAAAGGCAAAAGGAAGCUUGAUUGCAAGACAUACAGGUCGAGCAAGGACGAAAGUCGGACUUAGUGAUCCGGUGGUACCGCAUGGAAGGGCCAUCGCUCAACGGAUAAAAGCUACCCUGGGGAUAACAGGCUUAUCUCCCCCAAGAGUCCACAUCGACGGGGAGGUUUGGCACCUCGAUGUCGGCUCAUCACAUCCUGGGGCUGUAGUAGGUCCCAAGGGUUGGGCUGUUCGCCCAUUAAAGUGGUACGCGAGCUGGGUUCAGAACGUCGUGAGACAGUUCGGUCCCUAUCCGUCGCAGGCGUAGGAAAUUUGAGAAGACCUGUCCUUAGUACGAGAGGACCGGGAUGGACGUACCUCUGGUGUACCAGUUGUUCUGCCAAGGGCAUGGCUGGGUAGCUAUGUACGGAAUGGAUAAGCGCUGAAAGCAUCUAAGCGCGAAGCCAACUUCAAGAUAAGAUUUCCCACCGUAAGGGUAUGACCCCAGGAAGACUACCUGGUUGAUAGGUCGAAGGUGUAAGUGCAGUAAUGUAUUUAGCUUAUCGAUACUAAUAGGUCGAGGACUUGACC
rnacentral:rRNA from 1 species